ACGAACGCUGGCGGCAUGCCUAACACAUGCAAGUCGAACGAGACCUUCGGGUCUAGUGGCGCACGGGUGCGUAACGCGUGGGAACCUGCCCUUAGGUUCGGAAUAACUCCCCGAAAGGGGUGCUAAUACCGGAUAAUGUCUUCGGACCAAAGAUUUAUCGCCUUUGGAUGGGCCCGCGUUGGAUUAGCUAGUUGGUAGGGUAAAAGCCUACCAAGGCGACGAUCCAUAGCUGGUCUGAGAGGAUGAUCAGCCACACUGGGACUGAGACACGGCCCAGACUCCUACGGGAGGCAGCAGUGGGGAAUAUUGGACAAUGGGCGAAAGCCUGAUUCAGCAAUGCCGCGUGAGUGAUGAAGGCCUUAGGGUUGUAAAGCUCUUUUACCCGGGAUGAUAAUGACAGUACCGGGAGAAUAAGCUCCGGCUAACUCCGUG
rnacentral:rRNA from 1 species